GCAGUUAUGGAGCCUGAGGAGCGGCUGAGAUCCCUAAGAUAGCAGUCUGCACAGAAAUUUCACAGAGGAUAUGCCAGUAGUCUGCAGACACCAUAAUACAUGGGAGGUUUGAAGGCACUGCACUGUGCUGGAGUUCUCUGCCAGGAAGACUACUCUCACUAGGAUCUGCAUACUCCUGCAUAACAGACGUUGUGGUUUAAUAUGAGGUAAGGCUGAGCAAGACACAGGCAAACCCUCCAGAGAAGUUUAAUGUGGAAACCAUGUGAGAAGAAGGCCAUGUCCUUCAGAUAGCUAAAACAAAGCUCAGACUUGGUACAGUUCAAUAUUUUGGCCUGGUUAAAACAAUGCAAAAUUAAAAAAAAAAAUCCCAGAAAGGAGACAGGAAUUUCCAACACCUUGAGAUCACACUGAGCUCCGUUUCAAGCCAACUGCAGUGAACAGACAAGAAGCAAAAUACUGUAAGCAUCAGUGACGCUUUUAGAUCUAUGAAGAGUGAACCUAUUAAAAACAUCUACUCUGAACAUGACAAAAUGCAUGAAACAUUGCACAGAUCAUAAAAGAAGAUAAAUCCUUUAGAAACACAGCAAGUCUCAUCGCAACUUAAAAAAAAGUAUGUAUGUCUUUUAGGAGCCUUUUUAAAAGAGAAUAGAUACAUUUAUUUGCUUAUGAGUCAUCUGCUGUGAUCAAGCAAAGGAUUUAUCUCAAUCAUCUGUUCUUGUUCUAGCUACGUGAGGAUUAGCAAAGAAAAACAAUGGAACUUUGAGACAGAAACUGUCAUAGGCAGCAACUUAAAGCUAAACUGCAAGAUAAUCUUGUCUCUUGUUGCAGUGCUCUGAAUCAGUUCAAUGCUUUCUUCUGGAUUUUUUUUUUUUUCCUAAUUGCUCAACUGAACCACUCAGGACCCUCACUCAAUUGUUUAAGAACUAUACAGAAAACACUAGCCAUUUUUUUUUUUUUUUUCCACAACUAGCAGCCCAUUUAUUAGAGUGGUUUCCAAUAACAUAUUUAAAUACAUUAUUUUUUCCUAGCAGUAGAGUUUGUGGGGGUAUUGGUUCUACUGCCUCUGUUCUCAUUUGAAAUACUGUUUCUAAUUUCUUCUCUGCUGUAGUUUCCAUAUCUACCUGUUAGUAAUAUCUGGAUCAGUUACUAGUCACAGUAAUGACUAGUCUUGGAAAGUAUCAGCACCUGUCACAUACAGUUUUCAAGAGGCAAGAGAGCUAACCAGUUAAUUUAAAUGAAUAUUUGAAUUUAACAGUGAAAGAUGAGAUUCUUAGUGCAAAUUCUCUUCAAAGACAAUACAAUUUCCAUCUGACUCAGGAAUGAGUAACAAUUUCACUCAAGAAGGUAUUUGAGGAACUUCUCAGCCUCAAAUAAUAUUACAAACAUCAACAAACCGAUAAAAUAAGGAAGGUGAGAUGGUGUCUGUUCCGUGAUAAGGAUAUUUUAUUAGAGGAAAGAGAAAUAUACGUGAAUGAUUGUGUGAAUUCUUGCUGGGAUCAGGAAUGGUAGGCUUUUAAUGCUGUGUUUAGUCCAGUAACUACACCUCCCAUAAAAUACUACAUCCAAUUAUUAAGGGCUAUCCCUUCAGAGACAGAUUGACUGGGUCACUGGACAGGAUGCUCUGGUAUUGCCACAGGCCACCAAGAGACUGGCUUUCUCUUCAGGGUAGGCAGGCAAGUAUCCUCUUUCCCUCAGUAAAACAACAUGUUAGCCACUUAACUUUAUUAGGUGGUUAGGCACUCAUGAAUAAGAAAACAGAAACUGUUUCUGAGUUUUGUGGCUUCAGAGAACUCUACACCCUUUUGGGAAGAUAGAAUUUGUACUGGUAUGCCAACUUAAUACUUUUGAUGCCAGUGAAAAAACUUUGUUUGACCUUCUUAACACUGUAAAAAUAAAGCUGAAAUAAAAUAAGUGAUGCUUUU